CCGCGCCGGCGUCUAUACAUGCAGUCGAGCGGACCUGAUGGAGUGCUUGCACUCCUGAUGGUUAGCGGCGGACGGGUGAGUAACACGUAGGCAACCUGCCCUCAAGACUGGGAUAACUACCGGAAACGGUAGCUAAUACCGGAUAAUUUAUUUUGCAGCAUUGUGGAAUAAUGAAAGGCGGAGCAAUCUGUCACUUGAGAUGGGCCUGCGGCGCAUUAGCUAGUUGGUGGGGUAACGGCCCACCAAGGCGACGAUGCGUAGCCGACCUGAGAGGGUGAACGGCCACACUGGGACUGAGACACGGCCCAGACUCCUACGGGAGGCAGCAGUAGGGAAUCUUCCGCAAUGGGCGAAAGCCUGACGGAGCAACGCCGCGUGAGUGAUGAAGGUUUUCGGAUCGUAAAGCUCUGUUGCCAAGGAAGAACGUCUUCUAGAGUAACUGCUAGGAGAGUGACGGUACUUGAGAAGAAAGCCCCGGCUAACUACGUGCCAGCAGCCGCGGUAAUACGUAGGGGGCAAGCGUUGUCCGGAAUUAUUGGGCGUAAAGCGCGCGCAGGCGGUUCUUUAAGUCUGGUGUUUAAACCCGAGGCUCAACUUUCGGGUCGCACUGGAAACUGGGGGAGCUUGAGUGCAGAAGAGGAGAGUGGAAUUCCACGUGUAGCGGUGAAAUGCGUAGAUAUGUGGAGGAACACCAGUGGCGAAAGCGACUCUCUGGGCUGUAACUGACGCUGAGCGCGAAAGCGUGGGGAGCAAACAGGAUUAGAUACCUGGUAGUCACGCGUAACGAUGAUGCUAGUGUAGGGUUCGAUACCUGUGCGAAGUAACACAUAGCAUCGCUGGAGUACGUCGCAGACUGAACUCAAGAUUGACGGACCGCACAGCAGUGGAGUAUGUGUAAUCGAGCACGCGGAGACUACAGCUGGACAUCUCUGAAUCUCUAGAUAAAGCGCCCAGUACAAGGACAGGGUGCAGGUGUCUAGUCUGCUUGAAGUGGUAAUUACCAAGCACUAUUAUUUGCACUAUGGACCUAUAAUGCGUACUGACGCAGUCACUGCCUGACUGUACGU
rnacentral:rRNA from 1 species